GAGAGAGGAUGUGGCUCAGAACAGAAACCAGAAGCGCUGGGUAGCAGAGGCUCCACAUCUUCCUCCCAGAGACAGCAGCACCGCAGCACUUCCAACCUGCCUUUCCUGCCACUCUCAGUAAAGUUCUUUACGUGGGUCACAAUUUGGCCCUGCUGUGGAAAACAAAUGUUGCAUGCUGAAACCUUCAAUCUCCCAUAAGAAGUCUGAAGAACUGUAUUCUUUUGGCAAUGAUUGCCAGUUGCACAGAGAAGGGAGUGAGGAAGUUACUAGAACAUUUUGCACCACUCCAUUUUAAUUGAAACAAAGGGCAGCAAGUCACUAUGAGCACUGGGAGGAGGAAGGGAAACCACA